UGGAGAUCCCUCCUUUGGAGUCUUACAGCAAGCCCAAGACAAGGGUUAAGUGUGAGUAAGGGAAGUGAAUUAAAAGGAAUUAGAAUGUGGAGGGACUUCAAAGCAAUCUGCAGGAGAGCCCCUCUGCAAGGUUCCUCCCCACAGUUGUGUCUUCUAAAUGCUCCUUUAUGGAAUGGAGGCUCCAGUGUCCUGUCACAAAUGAAGAUCUCUUCAAGGACAGAUCUUCCCAAGUGCAAGGCUUAUAGAAACUUACAUACUUCCAAAUCAAAGUCAGAUGUAUGCCCUUGAAGUCAAGCUUUUCAAAUGGAGAACUUCCUCUGGCUUUUAUUGAUUUAAUAACUACUCUGUACUUUAAAGACUGUGUGACCAAGUUGUGUCUAAAAACAGCAAGUGGGACAAUUCUGUACAUGUAAAAAUGCCAUUACUGUGCCUUUUUCUCUUACCUCUCGCAGGCUGAAGUCAACACAGUGUUGUUUUCCUGUGCUCAUGUAUUUUGUGGUAGUUGGAGAGGCCCAACAUGUUGCUGGCAGGCUUCUUUUACAUUACUGUAUAGUAGAUUAGCUGUGUGUGACAGCACAUUGUCUCCUACCUCUCUGGGACUGGGAACUUCAGGAGGAGGCUGUGUGAUAAUGUGCUACAGGUAGCACAGCAUUCAUGGUAUUAUUUACAAAGAAAUUUGUAUUUGAGUUUAGUGAAACAAUGUACCUGUGUAAGUGAAGAGCUUGGUUGUGAUUCUGCUACUGUUUGUCACCAGCAUUCCUUUGUUAAAAACCCU